rnacentral:lncRNA from 1 species
CUAGUUGCUAGAGCUGUUGUAGAACUUUCAAGGCAAUAUUGUGUUGAUGAUGGUGGUUCAUGCCACUUAGGUUUCAAGGAUGAAAGGUUGGAACAUGGGCAAUCAUUUCCUGCCGAUGGUAAUGGUAAUUUUUUAUUGGCAGGCAAAAUUGGAACAUGAAAUUUAAGGAUGCUACCUCUGCUGCUCAUGCAGCGACUGAGUUUGCAAAACGUGCAAGCCAAGCUGCCAGAGCUGUUGGAGAACUUUCAAGGAAAUAUUGUGCUGAUGAUGGUGGUUCAUGCCACUUAGGUUUCAAGGAAAGGUUGAACAUGGGCAAGCAUUUCCUAGAGAUGGUAAUGGUAAUAUUUCUGUUAGCAGGUAGAAUUGGAACAUGAAAUUUAAGGAUGCAACCUCUACUACUCAAGCAGCGGCUGAGUUUGCAGAACAUGCAAGCCUAGCUGCCAGAGCU